AUUGAACGCUGGCGGCAGGCCUAACACAUGCAAGUCGAACGAGUGGCGGACGGGUGAGUAAUGUCUGGGCAACUGCCUGAUGGAGGGGGUUAACUACUGGACACGGUAGCUAAUACCGCAUACCAUCGGAUGUGCCCAGGUGGGAUUAGCUAGUAGUGGGGGUAAAGGCUCACCUAGGCGACGAUCCCUAGCUGGUCUGAGAGGAUGACAAGCCACACUGGAACUGAGACACGGUCCAGACUCCUACGGGAGGCAGCAGUGGGGAAUAUUGGACAAUGGGCGCAAGCCUGAUGCAGCCAUGCCGCGUGUGUGAAGAAGGCCUUCGGAUUGUAAAGUACUUUCAGUGGGGAGGCGUUACCCACAGAAGAAGCACCGGCUAACUCCGUGCCAGCAGCCGCGGUAAUUC
rnacentral:rRNA from 1 species